rnacentral:lncRNA from 1 species
CUUCACUUUCCCAUAAGAAGUGUAUGAUCUAAUGAAACCAGGCUCCUCAUAUGUAUGGUUAACCAUGAUACAAACUGUAGCUCACUUCCCCAUGAACUUACACUUUUUUUCCUUUUUAUUUUAUUCUAUUUUCUAGAGAUGAGUUUCGCCAUAUUGCCCAGGCUGGUCUCAAACUCCUGAGCUCAAACAAUCUGCUGACCUCGGCCUUCCACAUACUGGGAUUACAGGCGUUAGCCACCACACACGGGCAACUUACCUUAAGAUCAAGCCUCAUUUAAGAUUUUCAAAAAAUUGGAAGAUAGAAUAUUAGAUUUUGUCAUAUUUUUCUAAUAAUAAAUCAGAGAAGCCAGUGAUUGAUUAAAUAAAUAAAUAACAAUGGACUCCAGGUUCUUCAGUUUUGGAACUCGGACUGGCUCUUCUUCCUCCUCAGCCUGCAGACUGCCUACUGUGGGACCUCACAAUCAUGUAUUCCAUCUUGAAGAAAAGAAGCAAGAAAGGAAGAAAAUAUAAACAAAUGACUAUUUCCUCCCCCUCAAAGAAGUUGAAUUUAAAAAGGAACACUCUCCCCACUCCCUUUCUACUUGGGAUACUCCAUGGACAGUGUCAAGGCACAGAGACAAUGAAGGUUUCUGGUCAGGGCUACACGUGGUGAAGCUGAAAAGUGUUCGUGCAGAAGUGCCUUACCACCAUCACCCAUUCAGAAUGCAGCAGUUGCACACCAAGCUUCUAAGGAUGCAAGAGUAUCAGCCAAUGAUACCCAGACACCUCCACGAUUCUCCUUUAGACUUCGCUGGACGUCAGUUCCUUAUGGACAUCCUCUUCUCCCUGAGUCCCAUCCUCCAGCUAUGCCCAACAAUUUAAGUACCAUAACCCAAGACAAUGACUCAGAGCAUCCCCUGACAAGCCAACAACCUUAGGAAUGGUCAGUUCUAUGCCCAGGGUAGCAGAAAGUAGUUGGAAGAUGAGACCUCUACCCAAAUAGCACAGAUUUGUCACUGUUGUUCUGUCAGGAGGGAAAUGUGUAGCCCUAAGGAGUUAAAAGAAAAUUGAAAAAUGGGUUUUGCUGGCAGGAACAGAAACAGGGUAGAGGGGAGCAAAUGUUCUAAGAAACAGGGUCAACCUCAAAUGGCUCACUAGCAUCUAAGCAUCCUUUUACAAGCACCUAGCUCACAGCCCACCUGCAUGCUGUCUGCAAGUACUCAGCUUAAGCAGCACGACCUUAAAAAAUUUUCCUCCAGCCCCUGCCUCUUUGCAGGCAGCUUUCCCUCUGCUGUCUUGCCUACUGCUCUCUUGCAACAUAUUUUCCCCUUUUCUCGAAACAAAUCUGCCUUUCUAAACUCAUUACUGUCUUAGUAAAUUCUUUUAUCACCUAUGUGCCGGCCUCAGACACUCAGUGACCACCACAGCAUAUGCAUGUAUUAUGUAUAUGUAUGUAUCUUGUGUAUAUUUGUAUCUUAUGUAUUUAUGACAUUAUAUAAUCUUGCAUAUAUACCUAAUAAAUAUACAGUAAGUACUCACUUAGUGUCAUCAAUGGGUCUUGGAAACUGUGACUUUAAGUGAAGUGUUGUAUAAUGAAACGAAUUUACUACAGGCUGAUUGAUAUAAAGAAGAGUCAAGUUACUCCGGCAUAUUUCUAGUCAAAAAACAUCAUGAAACUUCUAAAUAAAGGUGAAAGCCUUCUAAUAUUUAACACUGAAAUAAAUGGGAGCUAUACAUAUAUUUAAGAAAGAUAAAUAAAAGCAAGUAGGAUGAUUAUUUACCCAAUUAUUUCAGUUCAGAAUUGUGGGUGGCCAGAGCCUAACCAGGCAAUUCGAGACACAAGAGAAACCAAUCCUGGACAGGACACUAUCCCAUUGCAGAGUAUACUCUCACACACUUCCACAUUCUUACAUGUGGGGACAAUUUAGACACUCGUCCAAUUAACUGAAUGUGCAUAUCUUUGGGAUGUGGAAGGAAAUAUAAGUACUUGGGUAAUGCCCAUGCAAAGAUAAGGAGAAGGUUCAAACUUCACGAAGACAGUGGCCACAGCUGAAGACGAUAUUUUUUAUCAUAAACAUUCUAUCUUAAUAACGUUGAACAAUAUGAGGUUGAGGACCUGCUGUAUAUAUUUUAUAAAUAUAAGUAUAUAAACACACACAUGUGCACUUAUAUAUGCACACACAAAAACACGUACACACAUACACACUUACAGCUUAUAAACCAAAGUCAACAUCUAAAAUCCUGAAUCCUUUCCCAAUCAAUGCCACUGAUUACCAGCAGAGCCUAAUAUUUUUUUCCUGAUGUUAGCUUAGCUAAUAAUAUCUCAAUUAAUAAGAAAGGAAAGGAAAGAAAGCCAUUUUGUAACCAAGAGAUUUUUCAAAGUUUUGAUAAUUUUUCUUUGACUUUCUAAAAGUAAACAGAAUAAAAUCUGUCUUAACAGUCUCAUUACUAAAAUGUCUUAAUAGCCUCAUAAGCCAUGUGAUGUUCCACAUAAGCUGUCUCCAGUUUAUUCCCUUUCAUCCUGCCCUGCAUUCACUAACCUCAGAAAUGCUUGACAUAAACGAAAUUCAACCCCUACUAAGAGUUUUUGCAGCCCCAUUUCCUUCAUUUUCCACCCUAUCCCUCCAAUUUUAAGGCUGUCCCCAAAUUUUAAUAUUACCUUCUCAUGGAGAUCUUUUGCAAUCACCUUGGUAAAAGCAAUACACCCAGGGAUUUCCUAUAACACUAUACUAUUUGACUUACACAACAUUAAUUAAGAUGUAAAGUAAUCUUAAUUCACGUAUCUAUCAUCUGUAUUGACAAUAAAGGAUAACUGAGUAAUUUUUUUAAGAAUGGUCUCUUUAU